UGGGGAAUAUUGCACAAUGGGGGAAACCCUGAUGCAGCGACGCCGCGUGAACGAAGAAGGUAUUCGUAUCGUAAAGUUCUGUCCUAUGGGAAGAUAAUGACAGUACCAUAGAAGAAAGCUCCGGCUAAAUACGUGCCAGCAGCCGCGGUAAUACGUAUGGAGCGAGCGUUGUCCGGAAUUAUUGGGCGUAAAGAGUACGCAGGCGGUUUAAUAAGUCGAAUGUUAAAGAUCGGGGCUCAACCCCGCAAAGCAUUGGAAACUGAUAAACUUGAGUAGUGGAGAGGAAAGUGGAAUUCCUAGUGUAGUGGUGAAAUACGUAGAUAUUAGGAGGAAUACCAGUAGCGAAGGCGACUUUCUGGACACAAACUGACGCUGAGGUACGAAAGCGUGGGGAGCAAACAGG
rnacentral:rRNA from 1 species